rnacentral:misc_RNA from 1 species
UAUGGCGGUAUGUGGAAGUGAAAAUCAGUACCGCUAUCAGUGUCAACAUUUUCGUCACGACAGCUAACUGGAUAUAUAACAUGAUAUCGAGACAGACUACGUUAUACCUCAGAGUAUCUGAGGCCAAAAAUCUUUUGGCGAAAGAUUUCAAUGGCAAGAGCGACCCAUAUUGUGUCAUCAAAGUAGACAAUGUUGUAAUUGCAAGGACAGCUACAGUAUACAAGACUUUGAACCCAUUGUGGGGUGAAGAGUUUGUGCUACAUAUGCCCAGUGGUUUUCAGAAUCUUAGUCUGUAUGUUUAUGAUGCUGACAAAGUCAGCAGUGGCGAUGACAUCAUUGGAACAGUCUCAAUUACCAAAGAAAUGUUAAAUAAUCAACGAAACUUAAAAGGACUAGAGAGCUGGUUUCCACUUCAGAAGGCAAACAAGGAUCUUGAAAUACAGGGGGAGAUUCUCCUAGAGUACGGGAUUCGCACGUCUGAAGCCACUGGACAGUCUCAUUUUUUUGUGACUGUAUUAGAAGGAAGGGACUUGGCACCCAAAGACAAGACAGGCUAUUCAGACCCAUAUGUUAGUGUGACUUGCUUUGAUGAAACAAAAGUGACUUCGAAUCAAAAGAAGACGCGAUUUCCAGAGUGGAAUGAGACACUGGAAUUCUUACUGCCAUCAGAUACAACGUACACCAAUAUGUCGAUCAUUGUGACAGUGUGGGACAAGGAUAAACUGAGUAGUGAUGACUUCAUGGGCCAGAUCCACCUCACAGUUGAAGAUGUCACACAUGGAACUGUUAAAAAGUGGCAUGCAGUAGCUCGCCGUCCACACGUAGAUGCACUGACAGUGCGCAGGGGAAGCCGAAUAGAACGGGGCAAAAUUCGACUCAAAUUACAACUUUUAGAAGAAACUGUUCUCCCUUCAUCCUGUUAUGAGCCUGUGGAGACACUGUUUCUGGAAGCAAUUGAUGAACACAAGGCACCAGGUCUGGGAAUGAUGUUGUGGGAGUUGCUGGAGCAGGAAAGAACAAUUGAACUGAGUCAUAUGGCUGGUGCUCUAGUUAGGUUUUACCUGGCGAAGGAGACUGUGAUAGAGUACCUGGACAAACUUAUGCAGCGUGAUGUAGACAACACAGAAGACCCCAAUACCCUGUUCAGAGGAAAUACUUUAGGGACCAAAUCAAUUGACCAGUUUAUGAAGAUCCUGGGUGUGCCUUAUCUUCAAGAAACCCUCCAGCCAGUCAUUGAGCGCAUCUUCAAUGAGAAAAAGACAAUAGAGCUUGAUCCCAGCAGGGUCAACAGUGUGCGCAGGAGACACAGUCUCCAUCGUGAGUCAGAGGAAAGCUUCAUUCAUUCGAGUCAAGAUGUAGUUGAGUCAUACAUGAGUGAAGUCAUUGACUGCAUCACACGUUCUGUGUCUGCUUGCCCGCUGGCACUGCGCAUUGUUCUUAGGAACACCUAUCUUCGGGUUCGCUUCAAGUGGUCUCACGAGACUUAUGAGGACACACCAUAUCUUGCAGUCAGUGGUUUCAUCUUUCUUCGGUUCUUCGCACCAGCGAUUCUAUCACCUAAGCUCUUUGCUCUGUAUGAUGUUCAUCCCAACCGCAAAAUUCAUCGAACUCUUACAAUUAUGGCUAAGAUGACACAGACACUUGGUAACCUUGUCACACCACAGGGAUGCAAGGAACCAUGGAUGGAACCUGUUGUUCCUUUCAUGCAAAGCAAGAUGUCUGCCAUACGUAACUUCCUUGAGGAACUGGUUACUAUUAAUGUGGAGGAUGUGUCUCCAAAAUCACUCGUACGUCAACAAAGCAAUGAUACAGUUCUUCAACAAGGCUAUCUGUACCUAUGCCACUACCACUGCCAUCGCCUCUUCCGACCUAUUGUUCUGAGGAAAUGCUAUUUUUGUCUAACCCGUGCCAUGCUGAGCUAUAGCAAGACACCUGAUGAGUCUAGUGAGCAAACAAUGGUGAUGGUAGAAAACAUCUGUGCUGUUGAGAUGUUAGAUUACGGUGCGCUGGGCAAGUCAAACAUGGGCCAGAUCAUCCAUAAAACUCCAGACAAUGGAACUGGCAUCAUAUACUUUCAGGCAAAGGAUGUGAAUGAACUGACAGGAUGGAUUUCUGCUAUUCGUAAAACCUGCAAGUACAACAGCUGCCGAAUAGACACCUUUCACCCAGGUGUCUUUAAGGGAGACAAGUGGAACUGUUGCCAUCGAGAGCAGGAUGUGGCACCUGGGUGCAGCCAGACAUACAAUGGUGUAGUGCUGGGAGACUGGCAAGAUCCCCUUGACGUGACAUUGGAUGCACAGAUUAUCUACUCACAACUUUUGCAUGGCCGAGACUUACUCAGGAAACAGCAACAAGACCUGAGGCUGCAACUAACACGGGAAAGCAGUCAUGCUGCAGAGGAAGGUGAUGAAAAAAGCAAAAAUCUGCUGACUCGGCUGAAGUUGUUGUCUCGCAUUUUAGAUGUAAUCGAACAAAUGUCCAUGCAGCAUGAAGCCUUCAAAGAUGGUUGAUCUCCUAACUCCAGCCAUCAAAUUUUGUGGGGAUGACCAUUCCUUGAACAAGUCGCUACCAUUGCCCUCCUUACUGUACACAUGUUUUCUGGUGUCCUGAGAAGCUGACAAUUUUUUUAGAGUAUGGAACAGAUUUUCUUUUCUUUUGGAUGGAGAGGAACAGGGAAUUUUGCUGUGUUUGUUAUUUCAAUUCUCAAGUCUAAAAGAGGUAAAUUUUUGCCUGAUUUAAUGCUUGUAAAAGUCUGCAUUUGUUAAGCAAAGUUUUGCUAUUAGCCAUAAUUAAGACUCAGAAUAAUAAACUGGCCUGUUUGCUGUUUACUUUCUUUUGGGUCUGAACGGUCUUGAUGCUUAAUAUAUUUGUAGACUUGAUUCCAAGUUCAAACAUGAAAUGCAAUAUUCUUUGUUUUUGCUUUUCACACUGCCUUUUUCACUCUAUUUCCAGUAACAUUCCCACAGUGUUUUGGUCGUUGUUACUAUUUGUUAAUUUGUUUGUUGUCAUGUUUUCUAUAAAUAUUAUUUUUCAAAAAGUAUAAACACUGUGCUUAUGAAGUGAGAAAUUUGUUGUGAUCAGGUCUGCUUAGGAUCUGUGAUUUCAUUUACAAAAUCAUCAUCACCUCAGUUGUUGUUUUUUUAAAUUUUAAUUUGUAUAAUUUGUGUAUAAUAUAUAUCGAUGUGCUCUGUAACAAUUUGAAGACAUUUCUAGAAAUUGCAUUUAAAAAUGAAUCACCUGCCUGUCUAUUUUCAGAGUCAAAACUUUCUCUUGACCAUACAUCUUAUAUUUUAUUCUUCAUUUUUACAUUUUUCAUCUUCGCACAUUUUUUGAAAUUUAGACAUAAAAUCUGUAGGCAUAAAAUUAUAAUCACAUGUUAACUCGGUUUUUGAUGUUCCUUGUGAUUUUUUUUUUUUUAAAGCGUUUAAUUCUGACCAUCAUUUUAAGACAACUAGAAAUGCAAAACUGGUUGAAGUCAUAAGAAUUUGAUAUGGUGUUACACAUUUAAGAGCUCAAAUGAUUAUUUCCUUGUAAUGUGUAUGUGCAUGUAUGAGAGCAUGUGGUUGUUAAAGAAAAGACCCUAGCAAGCCUUCCUGGGGCUAGCAUACCACAAUAUUGAUAAUAUUCCUUUUGUUUCUAAUAUUAUUUUCUUUUUCUUUUUACCCCGGUGAAUUGAGAUUGCAGUUAAAAGAUGAAAGUUAAAUUUUUUCAUUAGUUUUAGGGGUUUUUUUUCCCACACUCUCUCACUUACAAUAUUAAUUUAACCCAACCUCACCUACAGAAAUCUUUAUCAAUAUAUAUAUAUCCCUGUAUUUCUUCUUAUCUAAUGAUUAUUUUAUCAUAGUUUUAUUUUCAUGGCAUUCCUGUCUCAUAUUUGAUUGGCAUGGGUAAUUAAUGGUUUGGUAUGUUAUGUAUGUGGUGGAUAUACGACUCCCUCUGAAGAAAAAAAAUCCUUACAUCACCAACUCUGCUUCAAUUCCUGCAGUACCUUUUGAUGUCUAACUGUACUUUUAAUUUUAUCUUGACUAUACAGUAAUACUAGAUAUAAAAUAAAUCUGAAGAAAGUUUUCUUUAGAGAACAAAAGGAAAUCAGUCAAGAAAUCAUGACUGGGAAGAUUGGGUGGUGUCAAAUUAUAUUUCUUGUGAAACAUCAUAUAGAAUCAUGUUUCUGCAAAAUUGUGAGAUCUGUUAUCAUUUUAUUGUUGUAUCUGUGUUCUUGACAUUCUCUUGAAACUGGUACUUGUAAACAUAAUCCUGUUUUUAAUUUAUAUUUCAACUGAGCACAUUGAUACAUGCAUGCUUGAUAAUUCAGCAUGCUUUUGAUUUGAAAGCCACGUAAAUGUUGUGAGAGGAGAAGUGUUUGUUGUGGCACAAAUUCAUCAGAAGUUAAGACUUUCUAGAAUAAUAAAUCCAGUGCCAUUAUCAAAAAAGAUUAUAUUUUUAUCAUUGUUUUUACAACUUGUACCAUUCUGUUUCUGUGACAGAUACAUUUACCUUAUUACGAUGUCCACCUCUAUUUGUCUCAAUCUAUGGUCAUAAUCAAGUUGAUUUGUAUCAAGCUACUGGUAGAACGCACUUGAUUUCCCCAACAUUGGUGUAUUGCUUAUACACUUUGCUUACGUGCAAUACUUUUCCUAACAAAAUCGAAACACUUGCCAUACAGUACACAUGGUGCAGAGAAUACUAAAAUACCUACAUUAUUGACAUCACCUGCAGCAAACAUUUAAAGCACCAAAACUGAAGCAAUGCAUGUAGUUGAUUUAAUUUGGAGUGCUAAAUAUUUGGAACACCGGUUAUUGCAACACCUCAGUCAUGGUUCACAUCUAGUGAGAUAUCAAUAGAUAUGAGACUUCAUUGAUAUGUGAUUAGUGGGCUCCACUCCAGAACAGGUUUCAGAGUCUAGGCUUGCCCAAGCUAAUGACUGGUCCCUGUGUCCAUUCAGCAGUGUCUGGGUACCGGAUCAGAGAGCAUCCAGCAAAAGGAGAGGCUAGAACUCUACCUUCCAUGUGUUGUUCUCUAAAAACCGUAAACCACUUACAGUUCACGGCAGCUAGAUUAACAGACCUUUACCUUUUUCGGUUUUAUAAACUGUUUAUCAAUAAAACAUAUUUGCUUUAUGUCAGUGUUUUUCAGGACAAAACACUGUUUAUGCCAUAGCUUGCACAUUUCAUGUCAUUUCUUGCUUGAUAACAUGCCCUUCCCCUCCUUCAUACUAUGAGCUAAUGCUGUGUUCUGAUUCAGACUAAAAAUAAGUAGAUAUUACUCUCACAGAGCACAUGCACACAAAGAGUUGGGUAUUUUAUGCAUAAUAUGUAAUUAUAUCAGCCUUUUUAGCAUAUAAAGUAUAUAUUUGCAACAUUAUUUUCAAAUUAAAGUAUUACUUUCAUGAAAAGGUAUUCCUAGAGCCUGAGUUCUUCGUUCUGUUUGCAAGAUACUAGAAUUUAUAUUCAGUUGAGCAGAUAAAAGAAAUAUGCAGGUCUGUCUCUGCCCACCAUUCCUACUCAUCAGGAUGACUAAAUGGCAGUUAAAAAUGGGUUCAAAAUUCUUUGCUACUUUGUUCACUAUCAGGAGCUUCACAGCUGGACUGCCCUAUGAUAGGUGUAUAGGGACUAGGAGCUGGUCGGCAGCUGUGAGAGACAUUCCUUAGCUUCCAAAUGUUCUAAUGUCUGAUCUUAUGUGCAUAGUGCCUUGGCAAUGUGUAUUGUAGUUUUUCUCCCAGGCUAAAUUCAUGAAUUAUGAUGACAAGAUUUAUGGCAAAAUAUGGCAUUUUUGCAGAUUAUUAUAGAUUGACCUCUACAUCAUAUUACAAAUAUUUAAAAAAGGAAUGCCUGCAUUAAAACAAAACUGUCAGGAAAUUAUCAUGGGACUUCUGUAGUAAAUUGCUUUAAAGAUUGAAACUGACAUGAAAAUAAAGUUUGUAAAUAUCUCUUUUGUAAGCUAUAGCCAGAACUUUGGUCAGUUGCUGUAACAGAUUAGGAAGCUUUCCUCCUUGACAGUAUUCUGUGGUUACCUGUGCCAUUAAAACACAUUUUUUUGUUCUUCACAGGAUGUUUGACAGCUAUUUGAAUUCCCAACAAUGAAAAGCUACAGCCGAACAAAAAUUGUUUUAAUAUCUCCACAGAGAGCAUGCUAAUUUCAUUUAUGUUGCUGCUAAUUGUUUUUGGUUUUGUUUUGUUUUUCAGCUCUGAACUUUACUGUUUAAAGCCUUGCUCUUAUACCCUUCAGAAUAUAUGACAUUACUGCCAUUAAAGUGUGAUUAAUAUAUAUCUUAAUCCCUCUGAAUGUUGUACAGAAGAUGUGCACUUUUACCUGCUUAUUGUUCCAUUCCAUGCACUCGUGCAUGCACACAAAUACACUCUCAAACAUUUUAGACAUUUUGGUAUUUGGGGCCAUGUUGAAAAAUCUUUAUUUUCCUAGUGCAAAAGGAUAACACAAUCUUAGUUUCAUUAUAUAAAUAGCACAUAAAUGCAUGCCUUUUAACAAGCUUAUUAUUUGUGAGACCCUGGCAAACAACGAAUCUCCAUUUUGCUUGUCAUGUGCAAACCUGUAGUGCCUAACAACAAAUAACCUUUAUCUUCACCUUGCCACUUCCUGCCUUUUAUUGAACUAGAUCACAUUGUCAUUUUUAUCACAUUUUAAAUAGAGUGAUUACAUUUUUUUUCUAUAGGUCUUUCUCGCAUUAGUAGUUGCAGUUACAGAUGUAAAUAUCUACUUGACCCAUAAGAGCAGUCAACUUUCAGUUUAAUUAGUUUGAAAUAUGCUUCAGCUGGGAAGAAAAUGUGGACAAGAGACAUACAAGUAGUUAUACUUGUUCCUAUUCACCAUCACACAUUCAGCCCCCCAGGUACACACAAGUAGAUACAGAUGUGCAGACAUUUACAGUUGGUCAAUCUUCAUAACCAUGCUCAGUAUUUGACAUUUAAGAUUUUUCUUGGUUUUCUUUUGUCAUUUUUGUAACAUCCAUCAUUUAAAAAUUAAGUUGAACUUUAAGAUACAAAACUCAAAGUAUUCUUUAAUCCCACCCACAUUUAUUCACUGCAGUCUCAAGAACAUUAAAAUCUUGUAUUCAGCAAUAGACAAAAGUGGGAAAAAAAUUAUCUAAUAUUUUUGUAUUUGGAUUUCUUGUUUGCACUGCAUUCAUGAUAGUCUGCUACAUUUGUGAAAAGCAUAUUUUUAACUGAACAGUUUUGUAUUCUGCACAUUUUUUGCAGAGGGUGUCUGUCUAGUCAACAUUAUUGUUACAGCUUAAAACAGUUGAAGUCUGUUCCUGCAGAACUUUAUUUAUUUAGUGACAGCAUGUGCAGCUGUUGAUAAAAUUUUCAUGAUUGUGUUUAAAUAAUACCCUUGUAUCAAACUAUCUCAUGAAAGGUUGUUAUAAGAAGUCAGACAUGUCACUUAUUUUUGUUAUGUUAUAAAUUUUGUUGAACAAAUGUCCUUUAAUUUGCAUUUCCAAACAAAGCAUUUACAUAAAUUUAUUUAUUUACAAAGUUUAUUUACUUUCAGACAAAUUUUAAUAGUUUACGUUCAUGUAUUUCUUAUAGAAGGUAAUAGCAGUGUAACUAUAUUAACCUUGUUCAGAGUUUAAUAGAUCAGCUUUUUGGUCUCAUUUUUCACCUUAGAUAUUUCAAAUGUAUUCUUUCAUACAAAGUGUUUGUGUAUUCUUUCGCCACUUUCCACCUUUUAUUUGUGGAGUUCAUAAAAUUUGUUGUCAGCACCCAAGAAAUAAAUAUAUGCCUGACCUUGUAAA